UCUGCCCCUCCUCAAGAGCAAAAGCAAAUGUUGGGUGAAUGGCUGUUUCCUCUCAUUCAAGCCAUGCACCCUACUCUUGCUGGUAAAAUCACUGGCAUGUUGUUGGAGAUUGAUAAUUCAGAACUUCUUCAUAUGCUUGAGUCUCCAGAGUCUCUUCGUUCUAAGGUUGAUGAAGCUGUAGCAGUACUACAAGCCCACCAAGCUAAAGAGGCUGCCCAGAAAGCAGUUAACAGUGCCACUGGUGUUCCAACUGUUUAAAAUUGAUCAGGGACCAUGAAAAGAAACUUGUGCUUCACUGAAGAAAAAUAUCUAAACAUUGAAAAACUUAAAUAUUAUGGAAAAAAACAUUGCAAAAUAUAAAAUAAACAAAAAAGGAAAGGAAACUUUGAACCUUAUGUACCAAGCAAAUGCCAGGUCUAGCAAACAUAAUGCUAGUCCUAGAUUACUUAUUGAUUUAAAAACAACAAAAAAAAAAAAAACA